UCCUACUGGAGGAGCCACGCGACAGAAGGUGAAUGAAAAAAAGGGCCUGAGGUUGGGGAGAGAAUUCUUGCCUAAGAAGGAGGGGCUAACUACGUGCCAGCAGCCGCGGUAAUACGUAGGGUGCGAGCGUUGUCCGGAAUUACUCCCCCGUAAAGAGCUCGUAGGUGGUUUGUCGCGUCGUCUGUGAAAUUCCGGGGCUUAACUUCGGGCGUGCAGGCGAUACGGGCAUAAUUUGAGUGCUGUAGGGGAGACUGGAAUUCCUGGUGUAGCGGUGGAAUGCGCAUAUAUCAGGAGGAACACCGAUGGCGAAGGCAGGUCUCUGGGCAGUAACUGACGCUGAGGAGCGAAAGCAUGGGGAGCGAACAUUAUUAGAUACCCUGGUAGUCCAUGCCGUAAACGGUGGGCGCUAGGUGUAGGGGUCUUCCACGACUUCUGUGCCGUAGCUAACGCAUUAAGCGCCCCCGCCUGGGGAGUACGGCCGCAAGGCUAAAACUCCAAUGAAUUGACGG
rnacentral:rRNA from 1 species